rnacentral:rRNA from 1 species
AAGGAUCAUUAUCAAUUUUCAACACGGGGAGCGUAGAAAUACGCUUCCACGGUUGUUACACCCUUUGUCUUUUGCGUACUGUAUGUUUCCUCGGUGGGCUCGCCCGCCGAUAGGACAUUCUUAAACCCUUUGUAAUUGCAAUCAGCGUCAGAAAAAACUAUAAUAAUUAAAACUUUCAACAACGGAUCUCUUGGUUCUGGCAUCGAUGAAGAACGCAGCGAAAUGCGAAAAGUAGUGUGAAUUGCAGAAUUCAGUGAAUCAUCGAAUCUUUGAACGCACAUUGCGCCCCUUGGUAUUCCAUGGGGCAUGCCUGUUCGAGCGUCAUUUGUACCCUCAAGCUCAGCUUGGUGUUGGGUGUUUGUCCCGCCGUUGCGCGUGGACUCGCCUCAAAGCAAUUGGCAGCCGGCAUAAGCCUGGGAGCGCAGCACAAUCGCUGUUUCCAGACUGCGUGUCGAGCGUCCAGCAAGCCUAUUAUUCUUGCGUUUGACCUCGGAUCAGGUAGGGAUACCCGCUGAACUUAA